CCAGCGGGCCCUUGGUCUGCGGGCACACCAGAAUUUCCAGCAAUUUGGGAUCGACACCGCUUUCGGGUCGUUCAGCCGGCGAGGUCGUCAUGCAUGGCUCCAGAGCUGUGCGUAGUUUUGAGCAUUGUAUCACACCCACGGCAGGCCGGAUCAACUUCCGCAGGGAACGAAAACGGCCCGUCGGGUAUCCGGCGGGCCGUCUGCAACAAUAAUUCGAUGCGAAAGUGCAGCGCUCCUUAGCGCGGCGCCAGCACCAUGACGACCUGACGGCCUUCGAAGCGGGCGUCCUGUUCGAC
rnacentral:misc_RNA from 1 species